CUUCUCUUGCAGGUUGAUUCUAAGGAAGCCAACAGCCGUGUUGUGAGUACCCAAUGGAUAGUCUAUUGUGGCAGAAAACUGACGUCUCCAGCCAACAGCACUGAGGCCCUGAGACCUGCCAACAGUCAUGUUACAUCUCAAGGAGAAGGAUUGCUGGAUCAAAAGUCUUGCAGUUAACCAGGCGUGGUGGCAGAUAGCUGUAAUCCCAGCUAUUCGGGAGGCUGAGGCAGGAGAAUCUCUUGUACCCGGGAGGCAGAGGUUGCAGUGGGCCAAGACCAUGCCAUUGACUCCUGCCUGGUGACAAGAAAGAAACUACGUCUCAACAACAACAACACGCUUGGGCACUGUGUUAACUCCAUAAUCGGUUUAUUCAUAAUGCUGCAUCAUCCAACCAUCAUCCAACCUAUUUAUCAUUCACAAUGCCACCUGUGAAUACUGGCUUCCGUUGACUCAGGAAUUGCUACUGGGC